rnacentral:rRNA from 1 species
CACCUGGAGUAGACAACAGGGAUUGCCCCAGUAACGGCGAGUGAAGCGGCAACAGCUCAAAUUUGAAAUCUGGCCUCCGGGUCCGAGUUGUAAUUUGUAGAGGAUGCUUUUGGCGAGGUGCCUUCCGAGUUCCCUGGAACGGGACGCCAUAGAGGGUGAGAGCCCCGUCUGGUCGGACACCGAGCCUCUGUAAAGCUCCUUCGACGAGUCGAGUAGUUUGGGAAUGCUGCUCAAAAUGGGAGGUAUAUGUCUUCUAAAGCUAAAUAUUGGCCAGAGACCGAUAGCGCACAAGUAGAGUGAUCGAAAGAUGAAAAGCACUUUGAAAAGAGGGUUAAAAAGUACGUGAAAUUGUUGAAAGGGAAGCGCCUAUGACCAGACUUGGGCCCGGUGAAUCAUCCAGCGUUCUCGCUGGUGCACUUUGCCGGGCACAGGCCAGCAUCAGUUUGGCGCGGGGGAUAAAGGUUUUGGGAAUGUGGCUCCCUCGGGAGUGUUAUAGCCCAUUGCGUAAUACCCUGCGCCGGACUGAGGUACGCGCAUCGCAAGGAUGCUGGCGUAAUGGUCAUCAGCGACCCGUCUUGAAACACGGACCAAGGAGUCGUCUUCGUAUGCGAGUGUUCGGGUGUCAAACCCCUACGCGUAAUGAAAGUGAACGCAGGUGAGAGCUUCGGCGCAUCAUCGACCGAUCCUGAUGUUCUCGGAUGGAUUUGAGUAAGAGCAUACGGGGCCGGACCCGAAAGAAGGUGAACUAUGCCUGUAUAGGGUGAAGCCAGAGGAAACUCUGGUGGAGGCUCGCAGCGGUUCUGACGUGCGAAUCGAUCGUCAAAUAUGGGCAUGGGGGCGAAAGACUAAUCGAACCUUCUAGUAGCUGGUUUCCGCCGAAGUUCUCCCCCUCAGGAA